GCUGUCCGUAGGGAAGGGUAAAUACUCAUCGAGCAUUGGAGGCUCCGGCGUCGGUCUUCACUGCUUUGCUCUUUGGUUUCCUCGUUUCUGUCGUGAGCUCAGCGCAGCGUUGUGUUCUUGCUUGCUUCGGUGUUGCAGGUUUAUAGUGUAGCGCUCAUUUGGCUCUGGCUAUGGACAUAUUGUGUUGCAAAGGGCUGCGACGUUCUGCUUCGUGAUCGGUUCAUUUGCCUAUAGACUGUCUGGAAGUUUGGUUUACUGGUUUUCUUGCUCAUUGUUGAAGCUGAGGUGUCUGGGUUCAUCAGGUUAUGUGCCUUUAUUGAAGGUGUGCGAGUUUCACCUUUGUCAUUGGUAUCAUCUGUCUCCAGCUUCUUGGCUCAUUACUGAUCUUUAUAUCUUACGUGUUCAGGCUAUCUUUUCGUAUUUAAGGUAACGCUUUAUAUAAGUACU